rnacentral:tRNA from 2 species
GGACGCGUAGCUCAGCUGGUAGAGCAUUCGACUCUUAAUCGACUGGUCGCAGGUUCGAUCCCUGCCGCGUCCACCA